UCCGAGUUGUCCCCGGCAGUCUCCUAUGAGUCCCCGGCCGAACCGCUGGCAACAUAGGACAAGGGUUGCGCUCGUUGCGGGACUUAACCCAACAUCUCACGACACGAGCUGACGACAGCCAUGCACCACCUGUCAUAGACCCUUUCGGACACUGUAUUUCUACAGCUUUUCCCAUGAUGUCAAACCCAGGUAAGGUUCUUCGGGUUGCAUCGAAUUAAGCCGCAUGCUCCGCCGCUUGUGCGGGGACCCGUCAAUUCCUUUGAGUUUUAGCCUUGCGGCCGUACUCCCCAGGCGGGGAACUUAAUGCGUUAGCUUCGGCACGGCAAUCGUUGAUCGGAUCGCCACACCUAGUUCCCAACGUUUACGGCGUGGACUAC
rnacentral:misc_RNA from 1 species